CAGCUGGGCGAAGGGAUCCUCUUCCCACCACCACAGCUGCAAUUCUUCAGAUGCUCUGGGUUGGUUGGAAAAGGUACUGCUUUGUUCCCAGCUGGAUAAAGGUAUGAAGCUAUUACACAGGUCACACUCCAGAAAUACUUCCAAGUUUCCAAUCUAAACCUCCUCUAGCACAACUUGAAGCCACUUCCUCUUGUCUUACCACUUGUUACUUGAGUGAAGAGACAGGCCCCAGCCAGCUCCAACCUCCUUCUGGGAAGUUCUGUAGAGCCAGAAGGUUGCCUCUCGGCCUUCUUCUCACUAGGAUAGACAGCCCCAGCUCCCUCAGCUUCUCCUUGCAAGACUUAUGCUCUAGGCAACACUAAAGCUGCCAGAGGAUGUUACUGACACCAAGGGCUGACCCUUUGGGCCACUGCUCAAUAGCCUUGAAUGAAGAACAGGAACCAUGCACCACUGCUCCCCAGGAGCAGGCUGAGCUCUUGCUGUUCUUGCUCUGCUGUUUGACACCACCACUGAGACACAGAAGGCAAGAGGUGACAAUGUGACUGGGGCAAACUGCAAAACAGAUACCCCCAGCUUGAACCUCUGGAUGAAAGUCAAACUGUAUGACAGAAGCUACUAUUCUACCUCUGACUGCCUUCCUGCACUUGAAAAGGUGGGCACUGGCCUUCCAACAGCUCCUCUGUGCCCAAGGAGCUCACAGCAAGGGCUAUGUGGGCUCUGGCCACAGAGCAAGAGAGAAAAAUCCACAGUGCAAUAGUGACUUUGACCCUUCAUCCAGAAGCUCUUGGUCUAAACAUUGCUACCUCUAUUGCAGUUAGUGCCAUUAGCCAAAUAUCUAUUCUGAGAGCCCCUAAGAGCCUGCUCUGAUCAGAGUUGAUGGCCUUGUUUCAGCUCACAACAGCCUGGAUAUUGCUGACCUCUCUUAGGAACACUGCUCCUUUGAUGGACUGCUUUAGAGAAGUCCUGAACUUCACUGUCUUCAUCAAAAGCCAUUUCCAAGCCUACUGGUUGCUAGAAGAGUACUACACUGCCCUUUGCCUAUUCCCUUCUCAGAGCUUUGAGCUGCAAUAUUGCUUCAGAGCAUAAGAAUUAUAACCUAGUUGUUUUCCCAGAAGUACUUAUGGGAUUGUUCACAGGGCAAAUGUAAUCCCUGGCUAGCUGCAGUAUGGAAAAGGUCAGUGCUCCUGCACGGCAACAGAACCCUUUCCCAGUGGCCUAAGCACCUCACAUACUUCAGUCCUUAAGGUAUGGAAGUCCAUAGUCAAUGUUUAACAUUUAGCACCUAAAAAUGUGGACCCAAAUGUCACACCUUCUGUUACAG